CUCUCCCUCCUCUCCCUCCUCUCCCUCCUCUCCCUCUCCCUCUCCCUCUCCCCACGGUCUCCCUCUCAUGCUGAGCCGAAGCUGGACUGUACUGCUGCCAUCUCGGCUCACUGCAACCUCCCUGCCUGACUCUCCUGACUCAGCCUGCCGAGUGCCUGCGAUUGCAGACUCACGCCGCCUCGCCUGACUGGUUUUGGUGGAGACGGGGUUUCGCUGUGUUGGCCAGGCCGGUCUCCAGCCCCUAACCGCACGUGAUCCACCAGCCUCGGCCUCCUGGGGAUUGCAGAUGGAGUCUCGUUCACUCAGUGCUCAAUGGUGCCCCGGCUGGAAUGCAGUAGCGUGAUCUCGGCUCGCUACAACCUCCACCUCCCAGCCGCCUGCCUUGGCCUCCCAAAGUGCCGAGAUUGCAGCCUCUGCCCGGCCGCCACCCCGUCUGGGAAGUGAGGAGCAUCUCUGCCUGGCCGCCCAUCAUCUGGGAUGUGAGGAGCCCCUCUGCCUGGCUGCCCAGUCUGGAAAGUGAGGAGCGUCUCCGCCCGGCCGCCAUCCCACCUAGGAAGUGAGGAGCACCUCUGCCCGGCCGCCAUCACAUCUAGGAAGUGAGGAGCGUCUCUGCCCGGCUGCCCAUCGUCUGAGAUGUGGGGAGCGCCUCUGCCCCGCCGCCCCGUCUGGGAUGUGAGGAGCACCUCUGCCCGGCCGCAACCCCGUCUGGGAGAUUCUAGAUUACAACACCCCCAUGGGUACCAGCGGAGGACAAGGACCAUGAAUAUUCCACGUCUGUCUGAAACCUUUAUCAAGCAGAGGUCAAGAACAGCUCUUUCCUUUUCAAAAUUCAAGGCAAAUGUCCAAAAUUUUCAACCAUGCGGAUUUUUAAAGCAACAAAAUUGAGACUGUCUUACCACCUAGAAUUUCAUGAUUGCUCAUUUAUUCCAUCACUGUAUAAGCAGUUGUUCUAUUAUUUUAUAAAAAGAAAUGGAGUUGAAUUAAGACUAUCAAGCUAUACCUUAUAUUAAUGGAAGACAAGAUUCACAGUUUAAAUAUUUUUUUCUUAGUUUAGCUUAUUAGUCUUUUCUAAAUUAUCCUAAUCACCAAGUAUUAUACUUACAUAUUCUGAAGUAUUUAAAAGCAUAAAUAAGAAUGAAAAGCAGCCCCAGGCAGCUUCUUGCAUUACAUCUGGGCAACUGCUGACAUUCUAGGAUCAAAAACUGAAACUAAUAUAUCUACUUAGUCUGGUAGUAGACAAGGCAGCCUUCAUUCUGACUUCUGCCCAACAGACAGGAGAGAGGAGUUUACUUUUGGUCUGAGGGGACUGCCCUGAGAUCAAGUUUUUCCCCAAUAGGCACCACGUUGCAAUUUUCACUGUGUGAAGGGCUAGCGGGUCAACCCCAAGGUCCGACCAGGUGGUGACAGAUAAGUGAGUUCCUCUAGGGACCCAACAUGUACCUCCCACCAACCCAGAAGACCUGGCCUGACUGUUGCUGGGAUCCAGCCAGCCAUUCCAGAGGGCCAGGCCAUCCCUACUUUGUGUCAAUCAACCCUUCUCUCAAGUUAAUGUCUGUCUGCGGGAUGCCAGCCAGAAAGGUAUCUCUGAUUGGUUUUAGGGCUUAUCUCAGGACUAACCUUGGGGACAGGCAGUCUCCAGGCUUUGAGGGAUUUUCCUGUAAAUUGCCUGGAUAACAAACCCACAAAAACAUCCAGCUUUGAGUUAAAACAAUAACAACAACCAAAAAUUGCUUUUCCUGCUCGCUUAGGCAUUUUGCUGGUGGGGAAGGAGUUGCACAUGCUAGUUUAUUAAAUGUUCACAACAAUCAGUACCUUAAGCUAUACUAUAAGGGCUAUUUUAGGGGUGAUGGUGGGGGCGGAGGUGGAUGUAAGUCUUAGAUUGAAUGAAUUGCCAGAGACUCAAAGCUAGAAACUGACCAAGGAGAGAGUUUCUUUAACCACCAUCAGCUUCAAGCUGACUCUCCUGGUAUAAAGCUUUGAGAUUCUAAAGACUCUGUGCCCAGCAGAUGUGAGCAGCCAUUGGCAUACAAAAUGGUCCCAUCCUUAUGUUGCUAUUUCUGCUUCAGCCCUUUAUUUUCUUCUAGCUCUUUCUUUCAUUUCCCGUGUGAUCUUGGGCAAGUCUCCUAAUUCCUUUGACUCUCACUUUCCUCAGCAGUACAACCACAGUUCUUUCCCAGAUCACAAGAAUUUAAAAACGAAAUGACUAUGACCAGAUGUGAGAGGCAGUUAAACCUGCUGUAGUGAAGAGUUUUGAGCCUGGGAGUAGAUUGGCAGCACUGGAAUCCCAUCUCUUUGACCUUGGGCAAGUGACCUAAAGAUCUGUUCCUCAGUGGAGAAAAAGGAAUUUGUACCUCAUAGGACUGUUGUACCUUUUAAGUAAAUUACUGUAUUAAAGGGGCUUGAAAUAAUUCCUUGCACGCUCUAUGUUAAGUUGCUAUUAUUUUGUUCUAAAUAAAAUCGCCUUAGCGCAAUCAACAACACAUGUUAGAUGCUAAGUAAUGGGCAGUGAUGCACCCUAGUCUUUUGUUGGCAAAAAGAUGAGAAUGAGAGCACCAUUUCAUGGGCCAUGGGCUGAUGUCAAUUUCAUACCAAACAUGAUAUAACAUAACUUUGAGAAGCCAACAGGACAGCAACCCCAGACCUCCAGACCACUAUUUCAGUGUCUUGCAGUGAUUCCUCCCAUCCUUCCAGAGCCUCCACAGAGGCUCAGCUGCCCUGAAGGCAGAGGCAGGGCUAGCCUGAAGCCGAGGAAAUGCCUGUGUAACUCAAGGGAGGAACAGCCAGGGAUUCAACUGUGUAGGUCUGGGCUUCUGGAAGAGUUACUCCUCACCUCACUCCCCAGGGUCAAACUCAAAAAAAAACUUCAUGCAAAAAAGCAAUUUACUUAGCCAGUCACUUUCUAGAUUUGCUCAGCAAUUAUUUCAGCUAUUUGUGUUUAAAUGAGAGUUUUCUCCGUUCCUGCCCAGUGUCUUUCUGCUUCAUUGGGUGCGGAAGCCUUGGCAGCAUUUUCCCUCCUGAUAGCUGAACUUUCGCCAUCACGGAGGCUGGGGGAAGUGGGAGAGCAGCUAAGGAAAAGCAAAAGUUGCAGGUUCUGAGAGUUUCUGAGACCAUAAGGGCAGUGGUUAAAGAAUGGAGAAUGGGCCGCAGAGUCACCUGCCUGGAAGUUUAAUAACAGUAGAUAUUUGUGGCACUUUUCCUAGAGUUUCUGACUCAGUAGGUUUGGGGCAGGGGCAGUGAUGUGGUGAUAAAUACUUAGCAACCAGCUCUCUGGAAAAAUAUGUAAAUAGCCCUGAUUGGUGAAUUUUCAGAUUCCCUAGUACCAGUACUCCCAUCAUGACCAGUUUCAAGCUACUAAUUUGAUGUCACUGAACAAAGUAGGGAAGAGAUGUGCGCAGUAAGCUCUUCUGCGCUGCUAAGAGCUGGUUCCUGGACACCACUGAGUCAAGGCCAGUAAUCUCAUGUUUAUUAACUUCUCCUGGGUGAUUCUGACACAGUGAGUACUGUAACAGGCUUUUUAGGAGUAGGAGAAAUAGAGAUAGAAAAGCACUAUAAGUUUGAGCCUAGAGCUGAGAUUAAUUUGUUUGGGGCAGUUGAUACAUAUUCAUGUGCCACCAUCACUAUUUUUUGUCAUAUUCAUGUGUAUGCUGUACUAUCUGUUGCUUAUUGCUUACUUUUAAUCUACUCAUUAUUUUAUCCUUUCUUUUAAUUACAUGGUAUAAGAAACUAUAAUCACCACCUUAAGUGUAAAACUAUUACUAGUUGCUAUAAAUAAAAAGUAAAUGUAAAGAGCUUAUAAUAAAAGCCAUAUUGUUAAAUUCUAGUUAUAUACCAUUUUCUAUCUAACGUUCUGAGCCUGAGGUCUGUUUUCCCUUUGUGAACAAAUGUUGGAGUGGCAUUAAAGUUCUA
rnacentral:lncRNA from 10 species